AAUAUGUUAUUAGAUAAUUCGGAAACUUCAAUCUAAUUUAAUAACAAAUUAUCAUUUAGUUUAGAUUUU
rnacentral:sRNA from 1 species